CAGCUCCCAUGCUGGGCUAGACAGACAGAACUCUGUGUACCUGGCCAUCCUGAUUAGCUGGUGGAUCCAAGUUCUUCGGUUGUUGGUGCCUGUAUAAGCUUGUUCUCCAGUGUUUAUUUUUAGCUCUUCUCUCUUUGUAUUGGCCUCAGGUACAGCACAAAGAGAAGUGCUUGCUCUGAGUUACACCUAAUGUAUCUAUCCCAGAAGCACCCGUGAAAGCUCAAUACAAGGUGAUGAUGACCUGCCUGCAAAAAUUGGGACCAACUGAGACCCCCAGCGACCAAAUAGCUUGUCCACACAUGACCUGCUAUCCUCUCUUGGGGACUGUUCCAAUCAUUUCCAACUGGCUCCAGGUUUGAAGGGCUAGCUCCCUUAAGUCUUUCCUCAAUCAACUGUCAGAUGGAUGUCGGAAACACAAGCUACCUGGCUUUCUACUGACCUAAUGGAACCCAUAAGCAUACUUCAUCGGUACCAAAGCUCUUGGAGGCUGGGAAAUCCACUCUAUUGUCAGAAUGAUUCUCUCAAUCCUCAUAAAGUGCAUAUAGCAGCCCGGGCCUGUAAUCCCACUUG
rnacentral:lncRNA from 1 species